AAAAGAUAUGCGUACGAUUGGUUUCGAACAAUCUGUUUUACACAAACGCCCUAUAUUUUUUUCGAUAGAUCUCCGAUAAUGCACCAAUUAUGGAAGUGAUAAAGUACAUAAAGUUUUACAACAAUACAGAUUAUAAAGCUAUCAACUACUUUGCGUAUGUGAUGAAACGUUUGAUAUCGAACACUUAUCUGAGUCAGUUGCGUACCAGUAGACAUACAUGGUCUAUAUAUGUAGGGCUCAUGGGAGUUAACGGUUUAAAAAUAUUGUUUUGUCCUAAAUUCAAAUACAUAUGACUUUCUCAUUAUCAACAUUUGAAAGUAAUGUGUAAUACUUUUUUUUCUUUUAUCUUAUUAUUUCAUUAUGAAAAUAUACAACAAAAAAAUAUUAAGUGAAGAUCAACAACAGUUUCCGUAUAUGAAGCUUGAUUUGUUUUCAUAAUAUUACUUCCCUUUGGAAGUCGCUUUUGCGUUUGUAUGCCAUGUUGUUCGGGAACACUUGUUCAACAGGUCAACUUCAACCGAGAAGUGCUAGAGUGUAGACAUGAUGGAUUUGCAAGUCCUAGGAAUGUAUAAAAUGCUGAAUAACAAUAUUUUACGAACAUCUCAUUUUAUUUACUUAGUCUUCUUAUUCUAAGAGGUGGAUAGAAGUUUUACAUUACUUUUGUACCUAAGUUGUCUAUAGAUACUUGAGAUAACAAUGUUUAGAAAAAAACAACAUUGUCAUCACGCUAUCUCUUUCGAGUUUUCUGUUUUCACUGUUAUCAAUGGCUUUUAAAUGUAACGUGCUUACCACUUGAAUAUUUUGUGAAUGUUUUAUCUGAAAAUGAUAGUUCACAUCUUCAACAUACUAACAAAGCGACAUUCAAGUAUUAUUUUCUUAUUAUUUUGAGAAUACAACAUUAACCUACCCGCGUAUCCUAACGAUGCUCUCCUCGCUAUGUUAAAAUUUAUAUAAUUGUGUAGAUAUCUAGAAUGUCCGAUCAGAACAGUUAAAGUUGUUUUUGAAUAUAUCAACCAAUUACUUAUGCCAAAUCAAUUACAUAUAACAAAACGACAAUUAUGAUAAUAUAUGUUUUCUAAUUUCAGUUGUUUCACCUGUCAAAAGUAUAUGGAUCCAAUCAACUGAGCCCAGAAAGAGAACAAUGACAGACAACGUUUGAUUAUAAAGUUUACUUAUCUAACUGACAUUUUGUGUUUAUAUUGAAAUUUAUAUACUAUUUCAUCAUUGUAAUUAUCUUUGCACGUAACUGUUUUAAUUGAACAUUUUCUUAAACACGCAUCAAAGAUA